UAGGGAAUCUUCGGCAAUGGACGAAAGUCUGACCGAGCAACGCCGCGUGAGUGAAGAAGGUUUUCGGAUCGUAAAACUCUGUUGUUAGAGAAGAACAAGGACGUUAGUAACUGAACGUCCCCUGACGGUAUCUAACCAGAAAGCCACGGCUAACUACGUGCCAGCAGCCGCGGUAAUACGUAGGUGGCAAGCGUUGUCCGGAUUUAUUGGGCGUAAAGCGAGCGCAGGCGGUUUCUUAAGUCUGAUGUGAAAGCCCCCGGCUCAACCGGGGAGGGUCAUUGGAAGCUGGGAGACUUGAGUGCAGAAGAGGAGAGUGGAAUUCCAGGUGUAGCGGUGAAAUGCGUAGAUAUAUGGAGGAACACCAGUGGCGAAGGCGGCUCUCUGGUCUGUAACUGACGCUGAGGCUCGAAAGCGUGGGGAGCAAACAGG
rnacentral:rRNA from 1 species